rnacentral:lncRNA from 1 species
AUGAUGGAGUCUGCAUAUAGCCUGGGCCUUUCCCGUCUUUCCCAUGGAGACACACGCCCCGGCGCCCGCCACCUGACUCUCGCAGCCCCACGCUGGAAUCGCAGGCAGCAUUCGACCGUCUCCCCUCCUUUGAGUCCCUCCUUCACUCGAAGUCCAGAGAUUGAGUCAAGAGGAGUGGCCUGGUUUCCCCCUAAAUCCUUCACGUGCAGAACACACCAUCUGCAACUCUCUUCCCCUUCAGAGGGGGCAGAAAGCAGCAGAGCCCAGAGAAGGGGGCUCCUGCUGGGUCCAGAGUCUCCCCAAGGGCAUUGUGGGAAUUUGCCCUGUUUCAAAAGGCAAAUCGGGAUAACGCUGCCAGAGGCUUCAAGACAACACAUGCUAUUUGUGAAAACAUACGCAAACGCUGAGGUCUGGGCAGGACAGCAAGAUCCGGGACCAGAUUUCUGACUCAGUUUAUUUCGUGUCUGAAUAACUUUCAGUGUUGGGGGGAGACUUCAAAACCAUAACGUCUCCAGGGAGCUCUCGCCUUGUGCUUCUAACGCUAACCACGUUAGGCUGUCUGUCUUUCCUCCAAGGGCCGGAGUUCAUGGAAGCUCUUCUCAGUAGUCACAGCACUGCUAUUCCGAGGGAAUAAAACAGAGAAAUUGGAUUCA